rnacentral:rRNA from 1 species
GACGAACCGUACGAACGUUAUUCGGAUUUACUGGGCUUAAAGGGUGCGUAGGCGGCGCGGAAAGUUGGGUGUGAAAUCCCUCGGCUUAACCGAGGAACUGCGCCCAAAACUACCGUGCUCGAGGGAGACAGAGGUGAGCGGAACUUAGGGUGGAGCGGUGAAAUGCGUUGAUAUCCUAAGGAACACCAGUGGCGAAAGCGGCUCACUGGGUCCCUUCUGACGCUGAUGCACGAAAGCUAGGGUAGCGAACGGG